rnacentral:rRNA from 1 species
UGGGACGGGGAUAACCCCGGGAAACUGGGGAUAAUACCGGAUAACGCAUAUAUGCUGGAAUGCUUUGUGCGUGAAAGGGAUUCGUCCGCCCAAGGAUGGGUCUGCGGCCGAUUAGGUAGUAGUGGGUGUAAUGUACCUACUAGCCUACAACGGGUACGGGUUGUGAGAGCAAGAGCCCGGAGAUGGAUUCUGAGACAUGAAUCCAGGCCCUACGGGGCGCAGCAGGCGCGAAAACUUUACAAUGCGGGAACCGGUGAUAAGGGGACCACGAGUGCUAGCAUCAUAUGCUGGCUGUCCAGGUGUGUAAAAUACACUUGUUAGCAAGGCCGGGCCAAGACCGGUGCCAGCCGCCGCGGUAACACCGGCGGCCCGAGUGGUGAUCGUGAUUAUUGGGUCUAAAGGGUCCGUAGCCGGUUUGGUCAGUCCUCCGGGAAAUCUGAUAGCUCAACUAUUAGGCUUUCGGGGGAUACUGCCAGACUUGGAACCGGGAGAGGUAAGAGGUACUACAGGGGUAGGAGUGAAAUCUUGUAAUCCCUGUGGGACCACCUGUGGCGAAGGCGUCUUACCAGAACGGGUUCGACGGUGAGGGACGAAAGCUGGGGGCACGAACCGGAUUAGAUACCCGGGUAGUCCCAGCCGUAAACGAUGCUCGCUAGGUGUCAGGCAUGGCGCGACCGUGUCUGGUGCCGCAGGGAAGCCGUGAAGCGAGCCACCUGGGAAGUACGGCCGCAAGGCUGAAACUUAA